UGCCUGUUCGAGCGUCAUUACAACCCUCAGGCCCCCGGGCCUGGCGUUGGGGAUCGGCGGAGCCCCCCGUGGGCACACGCCGUCCCCCAAAUACAGUGGCGGUCCCGCCGCAGCUUCCAUCGCGUAGUAGCUAACACCUCGCGACUGGAGAGCGGCGCGGCCACGCCGUAAAACACCCAACUCUUCUGAAGUUGACCUCGAGUCAGGUAGGAAUACCCGCUGAACUUAAGCAUAUCAAUAAGCGGAGGAAAAGAAACCAACAGGGAUUGCCCCAGUAACGGCGAGUGAAGCGGCAACAGCUCAAAUUUGAAAUCUGGCUCUCGGGCCCGAGUUGUAAUUUGUAGAGGAUGCUUUUGGUGAGGUGCCUUCCGAGUUCCCUGGAACGGGACGCCAUAGAGGGUGAGAGCCCCGUCUGGUUGGACGCCGAACCUCUGUAAAGCUCCUUCGACGAGUCGAGUAGUUUGGGAAUGCUGCUCUAAAUGGGAGGUAUAUGUCUUCUAAAGCUAAAUACCGGCCAGAGACCGAUAGCGCACAAGUAGAGUGAUCGAAAGAUGAAAAGAACUUUGAAAAGAGAGUUAAACAGUACGUGAAAUUGUUGAAAGGGAAGCGCUUGUGACCAGACUUGGGCUUGGUUGAUCAUCCGGGGUUCUCCCCGGUGCACUCUUCCGGCCCAGGCCAGCAUCAGUUCGCCCUGGGGGACAAAGGC
rnacentral:rRNA from 1 species